rnacentral:rRNA from 1 species
UACGUAGGUGGCAAGCGUUGUCCGGAAUUAUUGGGCGUAAAGCGCGCGCAGGCGGUCUUUUAAGUCUGAUGUGAAAGCCCCCGGCUCAACCGGGGAGGGUCAUUGGAAACUGGGAGACUUGAGUGCAGAAGAGAAGAGUGGAAUUCCACGUGUAGCGGUGAAAUGCGUAGAGAUGUGGAGGAACACCAGUGGCGAAGGCGGUCUGCUGGGCAGUUGCUGACACUGAGGCGCGACAGCGUGGGGAGCAAACAGG